rnacentral:rRNA from 1 species
AUUGAACGCUGGCGGCAUGCCUUACACAUGCAAGUCGAACGGCAGCACGGGAGCAAUCCUGGUGGCGAGUGGCGAACGGGUGAGUAAUAUAUCGGAACGUGCCCAGUCGUGGGGGAUAACGUAGCGAAAGCUACGCUAAUACCGCAUACGAUCUACGGAUGAAAGCGGGGGAUCGCAAGACCUCGCGCGAUUGGAGCGGCCGAUAUCAGAUUAGGUAGUUGGUGAGGUAAAGGGCUCACCAAGCCGACGAUCUGUAGCUGGUCUGAGAGGACGACCAGCCACACUGGGACUGAGACACGGCCCAGACUCCUACGGGAGGCAGCAUGGGGAAUUUUGGACAAUGGCGCAAGCCUGAUCCAGCAAUGCCGCGUGCAGGAUGAAGG